GAUGAACGCUGGCGGCGUGCCUAACACAUGCAAGUCGAGCGGACAGACGAUGAGCUUUUGCCUUUAACGUUGGCGGCUGGCGGGUGAGUGACACGUGCAUAAGCUACCUAUAUUACUGGGAUGACUUCGUGAAACCGGUUCUAAUACCGGCUCAUAUCUUGAACGGCAUGGUUCAAUAGUGAAUGGCGGCUUUGCCGUCUGUUUUAGAUGGUGCCGCGCCGCAUUAGCUAGUUGGUAAGGUAAAAGCAUACCAAGGCGACGAUGCGUAGCUGACCUGAGAGGAUGAUCAGCCACACUGGAACUGAGACACGGUCCAGACUCCUACGGGAGGCAGCAGUAGGGAAUAUUGCGCAAUGGGCGCAAGCCUGAUGCAGCCACACCGCGUGAGUGAUGAAGGUCUUCGGAUCGUAAAGCUCUGUUGUUGGGGAAGAAAAGCAGUAGGAUAAACCAUCGCCGUUCUGACGGUACCUAAAGAAAAAGCACCGGCUAACUACGUG
rnacentral:rRNA from 1 species